AUUAUUCGCACCAUUCCUGGAAUGGUGGGUUAGCGCGCGUCAGCCUGUAGCGAACAAACCCGCCCCCGAGGCGGGUUUU
rnacentral:sRNA from 1 species